GACGCUCAGAUGUGAAAAGCGUGGGGAGCAAACAGGAUUAGAUACCUUGGUAGUCCACGCUGUAAACGAUGUCUACUUGGAGGUUGCGGUCUUGAACUGUGGCUUUUCGGAGCUAACGCGUUAAGUAGACCGCCUGGGGAGUACGGUCGCAAGAUUAAAACUCAAAUGAAUUGACGGGGGCCCGCACAAGCGGUGGAGCAUGUGGUUUAAUUCGAUGCAACGCGAAGAACCUUACCUACUCUUGACAUCCAGAGAAUUCGCUAGAGAUAGCUUAGUGCCUUCGGGAACUCUGAGACAGGUGCUGCAUGGCUGUCGUCAGCUCGUGUUGUGAAAUGUUGGGUUAAGUCCCGCAACGAGCGCAACCCUUAUCCUUGUUUGCCAGCGAGUAAUGUCGGGAACUCCAGGGAGACUGCCGGUGAUAAACCGGAGGAAGGUGGGGACGACGUCAAGUCAUCAUGGCCCUUACGAGUAGGGCUACACACGUGCUACAAUGGCAUAUACAGAGGGCAGCGAGGCCGCGAGGUGGAGCGAAUCCCAGAAAGUAUGUCGUAGUCCGGAUUGGAGUCUGCAACUCGACUCCAUGAAGUCGGAAUCGCUAGUAAUCGUGAAUCAGAAUGUCACGGUGAAUACGUUCCCGGGCCUUGUACACACCGCCCGUCACACCAUGGGAGUGGGCUGCACCAGAAGUAGAUAGCUUAAC
rnacentral:rRNA from 1 species